rnacentral:rRNA from 1 species
GUUGUAUGGUCAAGUAAUGAAGUGCACAUGGUGGAUGCCUUGGCAGUCAGAGGCGAUGAAAGACGUGAUAGCCUGCGAUAAGCGUCGGUGAGGUGGCAAUAUCCUGUGACCCGGCGAUUUCUGAAUGGGGAAACCCAACCAACACAAGUUGGUUAUUACACAGUUUACUGUGUAAGGCAAACCGGGAGAAGUGAAACAUCUCAGUACCCCGAGGAAAAGACAUCAAAUGAGAUUCCGUAAGUAGCGGCGAGCGAACACGGAGGAGCCGAUCAAUUUUACAGUAGCAAAAUGGCGUGGGAAAGCCAACCAUAGUAGGUGAUAGUCCUGUAUGCGAAACUGUUUAAGCGACAUAUUAAGUAGGGCGGAACACGAGAAAUUCUGUCUGAAGAUGGGGGGACCAUCCUCCAAGGCUAAAUACUCCUGACUGACCGAUAGUGAACCAGUACCGUGAGGGAAAGGCGAAAAGAACCCCUGUUAGGGGAGUGAAAUAGAACCUGAAACCGUGUGCAUACAAGCAGUCGGAGCGGACUUGUUCCGUGACGGCGUACCUUUUGUAUAAUGGGUCAGCGACUUAUAUUCUGUAGCAAGGUUAACCGAAUAGGGGAGCCGUAGGGAAACCGAGUCUUAAUAGGGCGAAUGAGUUGCAGGGUAUAGACCCGAAACCGAGUGAUCUAUCCAUGAGCAGGUUGAAAGUGCCGUAACAGGCACCGGAGGACCGAACCCACUGUCGUUGAAAAGCCAGGGGAUGACUUGUGGAUAGGGGUGAAAGGCUAAUCAAACUCGGUGAUAGCUGGUUCUCCCCGAAAGCUAUUUAGGUAGCGCCUCGGACGAACACCAUUGGGGGUAGAGCACUGUUUCGGCUAGGGGGUCAUCCCGACUUACCAAACCGAUGCAAACUCCGAAUACCGAUGAGUGAUAUCCGGGAGACAGACGGCGGGUGCUAACGUCCGUCGUCAAGAGGGAAACAACCCAGACCGCCAGCUAAGGCCCCAAAUUCCUAGUUAAGUGGGAAACGAUGUGGGAAGGCACAGACAGCUAGGAGGUUGGCUUAGAAGCAGCCACCCUUUAAAGAAAGCGUAAUAGCUCACUAGUCGAGUCGGCCUGCGCGGAAGAUGUAACGGGGCUCAAACUAGGAGCCGAAGCUGCGGAUUUAAUUGUUUCAAUUAAGUGGUAGGGGAGCGUUGUGUAAGCCUGUGAAGGUGCACUGUAAGGUGUGCUGGAGGUAUCACAAGAGCGAAUGCUGACGUGAGUAACGACAAAACGGGUGAAAAGCCCGUUCGCCGGAAGACCAAGGGUUCCAGUCCAACGUUAAUCGGGGCUGGGUGAGUCGACCCCUAAGGCGAGGCCGAAAGGCGUAGUCGAUGGGAAAUCGGUUAAUAUUCCGAUACUUGUUUAUGAUGCGAUGGAGGGACGGAGAAGGUUAUGCCAGCCUGGCGAUGGUUGUCCAGGUGGAAGGAUGUAGUUAGACUGAGUAGGCAAAUCCGCUCGGUUAUUAAUGAGAUCUGAUAGCAAGCCAGUUUACUGGCGAAGUGGCAAAUACCCUGCUUCCAGGAAAAGCUUCUAAGCGAUAGUCAUAAACGAAUCGUACCCGAAACCGACACAGGUGGUCAGGUAGAGAAUACCAAGGCGCUUGAGAGAACUCUGCUGAAGGAACUAGGCAAAAUGGUACCGUAACUUCGGGAGAAGGUACGCUGCCGAUGGUGAUGAAACUUGCUUUCUGAGCUGUUGGCAGUCGCAGAUACCAGGCUGCUGCAACUGUUUAUUAAAAACACAGCACUCUGCAAACACGAAAGUGGACGUAUAGGGUGUGAUGCCUGCCCGGUGCUGGAAGGUUAAUUGAUGGGGUUAGCGUAAGCGAAGCUCUUGAUCGAAGCCCCAGUAAACGGCGGCCGUAACUAUAACGGUCCUAAGGUAGCGAAAUUCCUUGUCGGGUAAGUUCCGACCUGCACGAAUGGCAUAAUGAUGGCAGCGCUGUCUCCAGCAGAGACUCAGUGAAAUCGAAAUCGCAGUGAAGAUGCUGUGUACCCGCGGCUAGACGGAAAGACCCCGUGAACCUUUACUACAGCUUUACAUUGAACUUUGACCUAACUUGUGUAGGAUAGGUGGGAGGCUUUGAAGCAGAUACGCCAGUAUUUGUGGAGCCAACCUUGAAAUACCACCCUGGUUAUGUUGGGGUUCUAACUUAGGAUUAACAAAUCCAAGGACAAUGUAUGGUGGGUAGUUUGACUGGGGCGGUCUCCUCCUAAAGAGUAACGGAGGAGUACGAAGGUGCGCUCAGAACGGUCGGAAAUCGUUCAAAGAGUAUAAAGGCAAAAGCGCGCUUAACUGCGAGACCCACAAGUCGAGCAGGUACGAAAGUAGGUCUUAGUGAUCCGGUGGUUCUGUAUGGAAGGGCCAUCGCUCAACGGAUAAAAGGUACUCUGGGGAUAACAGGCUGAUACCGCCCAAGAGUUCAUAUCGACGGCGGUGUUUGGCACCUCGAUGUCGGCUCAUCUCAUCCUGGGGCUGAAGCAGGUCCCAAGGGUAUGGCUGUUCGCCAUUUAAAGAGGUACGCGAGCUGGGUUUAGAACGUCGUGAGACAGUUCGGUCCCUAUCUACCGUGGGCGUUGGAAAUUUGAGAGGAUCUGCUCCUAGUACGAGAGGACCAGAGUGGACGAACCUCUGGUGUUUCGGUUGUCACGCCAGUGGCAUUGCCGAGUAGCUACGUUCGGAUGGGAUAACCGCUGAAAGCAUCUAAGCGGGAAGCCCACCUCAAGAUAAGAUUUCCCUAAGAGCCGUUGUAGACUACGACGUUGAUAGGUUGGGUGUGGAAGUGUAGUGAUACAUGUAGCUAACCAAUACUAAUUGCUCGUUUGGCUUGACCAUACAACACCCAAG